rnacentral:lncRNA from 1 species
GGCGCGUGCCACAGCGGGCCACCUUUGUGGGACAGCCAGAUCUGGUGUGGGCUAGGAGCCUCUGGCGCUCUGAGGCGCCCUUGGCCGACAGGCUUGCCGGGACCGUGCUCCCGCCCACUGGAUCAAGAUGGAGGAGGAACACAAAAAAGGGCGACCGCUGGCGUUUCAGAUCCAGGGAGAUUUCUAGCAGUCCUUCACCCUUUUGGCAGAUGCUUUACGAAAGAAAAAUUGCCAACCUUUGCUCUAAAGCAUAAUUGAGGAAAAAUAAAGGAAAAAUGGAACAGGUGAACCUAAGAAACCAACAAAGCAGAAGGAAGAACAAAGCAUUAAACUAGUAAAACAACACACCCUCCAUCAAAAUCAGAAAAUGCUCCACACCUAUAGCACCAAUUCUUCCAAUCAAGAUUGAUCAUGGCAUGCCUUCCUGCUAAGUCUCAACAUGGCCUUUCAAUUAGUCUAGUGCUCCAAGUAUCAAUCAAUGGGAAGUGACACUUGAAACCAAUUUUCUAUCCGGAACCUCUUCUUUAGAGGAUGUAACCAAGCUUCAUAUGCUGAAACUAUUUUUCUGGAAAAAGAAGUAAAUUUGAAGAAUUCAAAGGUUUUGUAGCUUUCACAGUUGAAGUAAUGUAAAAGUAAUUCAAGCUGACUUUAAUAAGAAGAAACUGAGAAGCUCAGGUAACACUAGUUUCAGACAAAGCUGAAAUUCGGUGUUCAAAUGGUGUCAUCAGGAAUCUUCUGCUUCUGCUCUCCUCUUUGUAUUCCCCUAGGAGUGGCAAGUUGGCCAUCUGUAGUUCUAGACUUUCAAUUCUCACAUUUUUUUAGCAAUCUUCUUGGAAAGACAACUUCUUUUUCCAGCAAAAUCCCAGAUUUGAGCCUCAUUGACCUAGCUGGAGUCACAUGCUGUUCUUUGAGCCAGUCACAGUGGCCAAGGGGGAUGGAAUGUUCUGCUGAUUAGGCAUCAGUCACAGGCCCACCAUUGGAAUCAAUGAGGGCUGAGUAGUGGGUGGUUAUGAAAGAACAGGUAAGGCACUAUUGGCAAGAGAAAUAGGAAAAAUGCUGGGGGGCGAGGCAGAAACAACAGAUGACCC